rnacentral:rRNA from 1 species
GGGGAAUAUUGGACAAUGGGGGGAACCCUGAUCCAGCCAUGCCGCGUGUGUGAAGAAGGCCUUUUGGUUGUAAAGCACUUUAAGCGAGGAGGAGGCUACUGGUAUUAAUACUACCGGAUAGUGGACGUUACUCGCAGAAUAAGCACCGGCUAACUCUGUGCCAGCAGCCGCGGUAAUACAGAGGGUGCGAGCGUUAAUCGGAUUUACUGGGCGUAAAGCGUGCGUAGGCGGCUUUUUAAGUCGGAUGUGAAAUCCCUGAGCUUAACUUAGGAAUUGCAUUCGAUACUGGGAGGCUAGAGUAUGGGAGAGGAUGGUAGAAUUCCAGGUGUAGCGGUGAAAUGCGUAGAGAUCUGGAGGAAUACCGAUGGCGAAGGCAGCCAUCUGGCCUAAUACUGACGCUGAGGUACGAAAGCAUGGGGAGCAAAC